rnacentral:rRNA from 1 species
AGUUAAGUUAGAAAGGGCGCACGGUGGAUGCCUUGGCACUAGGAGCCGAUGAAGGACGGGAUUAACACCGAUAUGCUUUGGGGAGCUGUAAGUAAGCUUUGAUCCAGAGAUUUCCGAAUGGGGAAACCCUCUAUCCGUAAUGGGAUAGAAUCUUUACCUGAAUACAUAGGGUACUGAAGGCAGACCCGGGGAACUGAAACAUCUAAGUACCCGGAGGAAGAGAAAGCAAACGCGAUUCCCUGAGUAGCGGCGAGCGAAACGGGAUUAGCCCAAACCAAGAGGCUUGCCUCUUGGGGUUGUAGGACACUCUAUAUGGAGUUACAAAGGAACGGGGUAGACGAAUCGAUCUGGAAAGGUCAGUCGUAGAAGGUAAAAACCCUGUAGUCGAAACUUCGUUCCCUCUUGAGUGUAUCCUGAGUACGGCGGGACACGAGAAAUCCCGUCGGAAGCAGGGAGGACCAUCUCCCAAGGCUAAAUACUCCCUAGUGACCGAUAGUGAACCAGUACCGUGAGGGAAAGGUGAAAAGCACCCCGGAAGGGGAGUGAAAUAGAUCCUGAAACCGUGUGCCUACAAGUAGUUAGAGCCCUUUUAUGGGUGAUAGCGUGCCUUUUGUAGAAUGAACCGGCGAGUUACGAUUACAUGCGAGGUUAAGUUGAUAAGACGGAGCCGCAGCGAAAGCGAGUCUGAAUAGGGCGAAAUAGUAUGUGGUUGUAGACCCGAAACCAGGUGAUCUACCCAUGUCCAGGGUGAAGUCCAGGUAACACUGGAUGGAGGCCCGAACCCACGCACGUUGAAAAGUGCGGGGAUGAGGUGUGGGUAGCGGAGAAAUUCCAAUCGAACUUGGAGAUAGCUGGUUCUCUCCGAAAUAGCUUUAGGGCUAGCCUCAAGAUUUAGAGUAUUGGAGGUAGAGCACUGUUUGGACUAGGGGCCCCCAUCGGGUUACCGAAUUCAGACAAACUCCGAAUGCCAAAUACUUAUUCUUGGGAGUCAGACUACGAGUGAUAAGAUCCGUGGUCAAGAGGGAAACAGCCCAGACCACCAGCUAAGGUCCCAAAGUAUACGUUAAGUGGAAAAGGAUGUGGAGUUGCUUAGACAACCAGGAUGUUGGCUUAGAAGCAGCCACCAUUUAAAGAGUGCGUAAUAGCUCACUGGUCGAGUGACUCUGCGCCGAAAAUGUACCGGGGCUAAACGUAUCACCGAAGCUGUGGAUUGACAUCUAUGAUGUCAGUGGUAGGAGAGCGUUCUAAGGGCGUUGAAGCUAGACCGUAAGGACUGGUGGAGCGCUUAGAAGUGAGAAUGCCGGUAUGAGUAGCGAAAGAUGAGUGAGAAUCUCAUCCACCGAAUGCCUAAGGUUUCCUGAGGAAGGCUCGUCCGCUCAGGGUUAGUCGGGACCUAAGCCGAGGCUGAAAAGCGUAGGCGAUGGACAACAGGUUGAUAUUCCUGUACCACCUUUAAAUCGUUUGAGCAAUGGGGGGACGCAGGAGGAUAGGGUAAGCGUGCUGUUGGAUUAGCACGUCCAAGCAGUUAGGCCGGUAAUGAGGCAAAUCCCAUUACCAUACGGCGGAGCUGUGACGGCGAGGGAAAUAUAGUACCGAAGUUCCUGAUUCCACACUGCCAAGAAAAGCCUCUAGCGAGAUUUAUGGUGCCCGUACCGCAAACCGACACAGGUAGGCGAGGAGAGAAUCCUAAGGUGAGCGAGAGAACUCUCGUUAAGGAACUCGGCAAAAUGACCCCGUAACUUCGGGAGAAGGGGUGCUCUUUUGGGUGUUAAAGCCCGAGAGAGCCGCAGUGAAUAGGCCCAGGCGACUGUUUAGCAAAAACACAGGUCUCUGCGAAGCCGCAAGGCGAAGUAUAGGGGCUGACACCUGCCCGGUGCUGGAAGGUUAAGAGGAGGGGUU